UACAGAGGUGGCGAGCGUUAUUCGGGAAUUAUUGGGCGUAAAGGGCGCGUAGGCGGCUUGACAAGUCCCGGGUGAAAUCCCUCGGCUCAACCGAGGAACUGCCUUGGAAACUGUCUGGCUUGAGGCCGGGAGAGGGUAGUGGAAUUCCCAGUGUAGCGGUGAAAUGCGUAGAUACUGGGAGGAACACCGGUGGCGAAGGCGGCUACCUGGACCGGUUCUGACGCUGAGGCGCGAAAGCGUGGGUAGCAAACAGG
rnacentral:rRNA from 1 species